ensembl:rRNA 5S_rRNA 5S ribosomal RNA
GCUUACGGCCAUACCACCCUGAACACGCCCGAUCUCGUCUGAUCUCGGAAGCUAAGCAGGGUCGGGCCUGGUCAGUACUUGGAUGGGAGACCGCCUGGAAUACCAGGUGCUGUAAGCU